rnacentral:rRNA from 1 species
UGAUACGUAGGGUCCGAGCGUUGUCCGGAAUUAUUGGGCGUAAAGGGCUUGUAGGCGGUCUGUCGCGUCGGAAGUGAAAACUCAGGGCUUAACCCUGAGCCUGCUUCCGAUACGGGCAGACUAGAGGGAUGCAGGGGAGAACGGAAUUCCUGGUGGAGCGGUGGAAUGCGCAGAUAUCAGGAGGAACACCGGU